GUAAGCUAUCGCUGAGGGAUGGGCCUGCGGGCCAUUAGCUUGUUGUGAGGUAACGCUCACCAAGGCUGUGAUGGCUAGCUGGUCUGAGAGGAUGACCAGCCACACUGGGACUGAGACACGGCCCAGACUCCUACGGGAGGCAGCAGUGGGAAUAUUGCGCAAUGGGCGAAAGCCUGACGCAGCGACGCCGCGUGGGUGAUGAAGGCCUUCGGGUCGUAAAGCCCUGUCGCAGGGGAAGAAUAAGCAUCGGUAUAAUACGCCGGUGCCCUGACGGUACCCUGCAAGAAAGCACCGGCUAACUCCGUG
rnacentral:rRNA from 1 species